UUUUACAGUUAUUUACCAUAUAUCAACCAGUAUAAUACUGUAAAUUCUCUUUACAGUUCAUAACUGUAAUUCCCUUUGCAUCAUGGGAAUUUUCUGUGACAUUAAACACCAAAUACAGUGAUUUGCUGUAUUUUUAAAAAAUAAAGUAUGAUACUGUAUUUACCACAACGGACUAUUUGGCGCUAUUUGGAUCGUCAGGAUUUGCUUUACAAUUUAGAUUAGGAACCAUCAAGUGCAGGGUUUUGCCUGAGGAGAGUGAUCAGCUGACGAUGCCGGAGAACAUAAUAAGAGCUGCGUCCAAGGACAGACACCUUGCGAAGAUUUUUUCAUCCCUUAAGAGGAAGAACAGCAAACAAGCAAGGUAAAUAUGUGUGUGACUGCGUGUGCCCGCGGUUGUCCGCACCCCAAUUUUAUAGGUUAACAUUUGUCAGCAUUGGCACUAAAAAUGAGGUAAACCUAAUGUUUUAUAUAUAUAAAAAAACGUUGUGAGUUGAAUUUAUUGUAUUAACCCCGCUAACAACACGGAACUGUUACGUCGUGUAUUUGCAGUCGCAAGUUUUGCUCGAGGCCAGAGCUCACGGUUCUGUCUGGAGACUAACGGUUUCUUGUCAGCAUUGAGGCUAAAAACUGAGGUAAGUUAAACCUAACGUUUUAUUUACAAAAAUAUUUUGUGGUUUUAUUGAAUUACCGAUUAAAAGCAUUUUUUUAUCGAGCACAGUUAAGCUUAACGUUAUAUUAAGACGAAGUUAGUUAGUAAAUAACGUUGGCUUCUAACUUAGUUGAGUAAUAGCAUCGUGUUUUUUUCCAUUUAAACGGUGUCAUUUUUAUAUUUUUCCUCAUUUUUGACAUUUGGGUCGACAGUAUGCUUUAAGAAUUUGAUUAGGAACUAACAGUGCAGUGCAGAGGCCAGAGCUCACGGUUCUGGAUUCUGUUAACGGUUUCUUUUCAGCAUUGGGGCUAAAAACUGAGGUAAACUUAACGUUUAAAAAGAAAAGAAAAGACGAGUGUAUUGAGUUACGAUUAAAAACCAGAUGUUUUUUUUUUUUUCGAGCAAAGUUAAUAUUUAUUUUAAGACGAAUUAGGCCUAGUCUAUUGUGAAAUACAUUAAAUUUUAUUUUUAAGCUGCAUUUUAAACAUGUAGUAAUAAUAGGUCUUUUUGUGUUUUAAAAACAGCUUCAACAAAGGCAUCCAUCAAGAAAGACAUGAGCCUUCCAGCCACACCAAGACUCAUAAUGCUUGGGAACAAUUUCUCUCUUCCACAAAGUGGAUGGUAAGCAUUGAGGGAAAGGUGGCCUAUGUUUUGGAUGAGCACCUGGGAUGUGCAGAUGCCUUUCUGUAUUCAUCUUCUUCUUCAACGUUUUCAACAUUGAAUACCAGGAGACUGCCUGUGCAACACUGGAACUCAUAAAACAGUUUUUUGUGAGGAUAAACCCAAAGGAGGGAACAAAAUGCACCGCCAAAACCGGAGUGAGUCGGAGGACAGGGGAAGUUGUGAAGAGAAAGACAACAGUAAUCAACAACAGUGUCAUCCUUUCUUCGCCACCUAAUGGAGUUUGAGUGGAGAAACUCAGACUAGGUGAGAUGCUUCUUAACAGGACAUCUACUGUAUACAGACACUUUCAAUUUGAGGAUACUAAUGCAGUUUACUUUUAAUUCAUCCUGCAAUAAUGAUUACAAUGUUGUUUUUGAUUAAAUUGAAUUGAGGUGAUUCAGUAAUAUGAUGAUUUUGGAGGAUGUAGUUUGUGCUGCUUCUAUUAUUUACUGACAGUUUUCUAUUUAAUUAUCUAUUCUGUUAAGCUAAAUAUCCAAAACACCUCUCUGUAAUAUGGAAUCAGGUUCAGCAUCACUACAAAGAACAUUCUUCAAAAUAUUCAUAGCAUUGAAUCACCACCUCCCUAAAAUAGUUUCAACAAUCUUCAUGAUGGCAUUGCAGGACUGGAUUAAACAGCAUUUGUUUUGUUAGUUUACCUCAAAGUGUUAACCAUGUGUAUAAAAUACUGUUUAACUAUAUGAUGAAAUGUAAUAGGGUUCAUUUUUAGGAUUUUUUAAAAUUAAAUUCUCUGUGUAAAUGUGCAAAUUUUAUGACUAACUUUGUCAUUCUUACCUAGAGGGACUUCUGACAGAUUCCUUGACAUAAUGAAGAAUAUUCAUGGUUGUUUCAAGUCAUCAAAUGUGCCAGGUUUAUUGACUUCCAAAGAAGAUGAGAAACUUGAGUACUUACCUACUUUCAGAAUAUAUUUGCUUUGGACAUUUAGGUUUUAGUCAUGUAUAUGAGUAUUUUACACCAAAUUUACAGUAUUCUUAAGUGACGUAUUUCUCAUGUAAUUUCCUAUGAAUUUAAUAAUUUAAUGCACAUUCAAUAAUAUGUUAUUUUGUCAAUUCUUUAAUUUAUUCCUUGUUAAUGGAUGUUAAAUCCAGUAUACAGACAAAGGACAAAAAAAUGUUUGCACUGUCCCAG